rnacentral:lncRNA from 1 species
AGAAAACAUUCAAACUUGCCCGCUGUGUCCUAAGGAAAAGUUCAGAGCUUACAGCAGUCAUAAGCUUCGUCGACACCUUCAGAAUUUACAUUGGAAAAUCUCAGUUGAAUUUGAAGGCUCCAGGAUGUGCAUCUGUCACUUAGCGUGCCGGCCAGUGAAGCCAACAAUUGUUGGAGAGCAGAUAUCCAGUAAAUUGGGAGCCCAUUAUCACUGCAUCAUUUGUUCAGCUACAAUCACCAGAAGGACUGACAUGCUAGGACAUGUUAAACGCCAUGUGAACAAAGGAGAAACUAAAUCCAGGUACAUUUCUGCUUCUACCGCCAAAUCAUCUAAUGAAGUUCUGAAGGAGACAGACACGGAUAUACAAGUUUUUCCUAACUACUCUAUUCCUCAGAAAACAGACUCAUAUUUUAAUCCCAAAAUGAAACUAAAUCGUCAGAUCAUAUUCUGUACGCUGGCUGCUUUGGCUGAGGAACGAAAACCGUUGGAGUGUUUAGAUGCCUUUGGAGCCACUGGAAUAAUGGGAUUACAGUGGGCAAAGCACCUUGGAAAUGCAGUCAAAGUUACAAUUAAUGACUUGA